GUGAGGAAUAUUGCGCAAUGGAGGCAACUCUGACGCAGCCAUGCCGCGUGCAGGAAGAAGGCGCUACGCGUUGUAAACUGCUUUUAACCGGGAAGAAACCCCAGGACGUGUCCUGGGUUGACGGUACCGGAGGAAUAAGCACCGGCUAACUUCGUGCCAGCAGCCGCGGUAAUACGAAGGGUGCAAGCGUUAUCCGGAUUCAUUGGGUUUAAAGGGUGCGUAGGCGGAGCGUUAAGUCAGUGGUGAAAUCCUGCAGCUUAACUGUAGACUUGCCAUUGAUACUGGCGCUCUUGAGUGCGCUUGAAGUGGGCGGAAUGUGCCGUGUAGCGGUGAAAUGCUUAGAUAUGGCACAGAACACCAAUUGCGAAGGCAGCUCACUAAGGCGAUACUGACGCUGAGGCACGAAAGCGUGGGGAUCGAACAGGAUUAGAAACCCGGGUUAGUCC
rnacentral:rRNA from 1 species